rnacentral:rRNA from 1 species
GACGUAGGGCGCGAGCGUUGUCCGGAUUUAUUGGGCGUAAAGAGCUCGUAGGCGGCUUGUCGCGUCGAAUGUGAAAACCCACAGCUCAACUGCGGGCUUGCGGUCGAUACGGGCAGGCUGGAGUUCGGUAGGGGAGACUGGAAUUCCUGGUGUAGCGGUGAAAUGCGCAGAUAUCAGGAGGAACACCGGUGGCGAAGGCGGGUCUCUGGGCCGAUACUGACGCUGAGGAGCGAAAGCGUGGGGAGCGAACAGG